rnacentral:rRNA from 1 species
UUCAAUUGAAGAGUUUGAUCUUGGCUCAGAUUGAACGCUGGCGGUAUGCUUAACACAUGCAAGUCGAACGGUAACAGGCUCUUCGGAGUGCUGACGAGUGGCGGACGGGUGAGUAAUACGUAGGAAUCUGCCCAGAAG